rnacentral:rRNA from 1 species
CCUACGGGGGGCAGCAGUGAGGAAUAUUGGUCAAUGGACGAGAGUCUGAACCAGCCAAGUAGCGUGAAGGAUGACUGCCCUAUGGGUUGUAAACUUCUUUUAUAUGGGAAUAAAAUGUUCCACGUGUGGGAUUUUGUAUGUACCAUAUGAAUAAGGAUCGGCUAACUCCGUGCCAGCAGCCGCGGUAAUACGGAGGAUCCGAGCGUUAUCCGGAUUUAUUGGGUUUAAAGGGAGCGUAGGUGGAUUGUUAAGUCAGUUGUGAAAGUUUGCGGCUCAACCGUAAAAUUGCAGUUGAAACUGGCAGUCUUGAGUACAGUAGAGGUGGGCAGAAUUCGUGGUGUAGCGGUGAAAUGCUUAGAUAUCACGAAGAACUCCGAUUGCGAAGGCAGUUCACUGGACUGCAACUGACACUGAGGCUCGAAAGUGUGGGUAUCAAACAGGAUUAGAUACCCGGGUAGUC